UAAUACUAAGCCAUGCGAGUCAUUGCAGUAAUGCAAGGCAGACGGCUCAGUAACGCGUAGUCAACCUACCCUAUGGACGGGAAUAACCUCGGGAAACUGAGUAUAAUGCCCGAUAGAACACUAUUCCUGGAAUGGUUUGUGUUCCAAAUGAUUUAUCGCCGUAGGAUGGGACUGCGGCCUAUCAGUUUGUUGGUGAGGUAAUGGCCCACCAAGACUAUUACAGGUACGGGCUCUGAGAGGAGUAGCCCGGAGAUGGGUACUGAGACACGGACCCAGGCCCUAUGGGGCGCAGCAGGCGAGAAAACUUUGCAAUGUGCGAAAGCACGACAAGGUUAAUCCGAGUGGUUUGUGCUAAACGAACCUUUUGACAGUCCUAGAAACACUGUUGAAUAAGGGGUGGGCAAGUUCUGGUGUCAGCCGCCGCGGUAAAACCAGCACCUCAAGUGGUCAGGAUGAUUAUUGGGCCUAAAGCAUCCGUAGCCGGCUCUGUAAGUUUUCGGUUAAAUCUGUACGCUCAACGUACAGGCUGCCGGGAAUACUGCAGAGCUAGGGAGUGGGAGAGGUAGACGGUACUCGGUAGGAAGGGGUAAAAUCCUUUGAUCUAUUGAUGACCACCUGUGGCGAAGGCGGUCUACCAGAACACGUCCGACGGUGAGGGAUGAAAGCUGGGGGAGCAAACCGGAUUAGAUACCCGGGUAGUCCCAGCUGUAAACUAUGCAAACUCAGUGAUGCAUUGGCUUGUGGCCAAUGCAGUGCUGCAGGGAAGCCGUUAAGUUUGCCGCCUGGGAAGUACGUACGCAAGUAUGAAACUUAAAGGAAUUGGCGGGGGAGCACCACAAGGGGUGAAGCCUGCGGUUCAAUUGG
rnacentral:rRNA from 1 species